rnacentral:rRNA from 1 species
CCCUUAGAUGUUCUGGGCCGCACGCGCGCUACACUGAUGCAUUCAACGAGCCUAUCCUUGACCGGCAGGUCCGGGUAAUCUUUGAAUCUGCAUCGUGACGGGGAUAGAUUAUUGCAAUUAUUAAUCUUCAACGAGGAAUGCCUAGUAGGCGCAAGUCAUCAGCUUGCGUCGAUUACGUCCCUGCCCUUUGUACACACCGCCCGUCGCUCCUACCGAUUGGGUGUGCUGGUGAAAUGUUCGGAUCGGCCGUUUGUCGCGGUUUCCGCGUCAUGUGGCUGAGAAGUUCAUUAAACCCUCCCACCGAGAGGAAGGAGAAGUCGUAACA